rnacentral:rRNA from 1 species
UGGUGCAUGGUUGUCGUCAGCUCGUGUCGUGAGAUGUUGGGUUAAGUCCCGCAACGAGCGCAACCCUCGACCUUAGUUGCCAGCAUUCAGUUGGGCACUCUAAGGUGACUGCCGGCUAAAAGUCGGAGGAAGUGGGGAUGACGUCAAAUCAUCAUGCCCCUUAUGACCUGGGCUACACACGUGCUACAAUGGGCGGUACAAAGGGUCGCGAACCCGCGAGGGGGAGCCAAUCCCAAAAAGCCGCUCUCAGUUCGGAUUGCAGGCUGCAACUCGCCUGCAUGAAGCCGGAAUCGCUAGUAAUCGCGGAUCAGCAUGCCGCGGUGAAUACGUUCCCGGGCCUU